AACGAACGCUGGCGGCAUGCCUAACACAUGCAAGUCGAACGAGACCUUCGGGGCUAGUGGCGCACGGGUGCGUAACGCGUGGGAACCUGCCUUUAGGUUCGGAAUAAAUCAGAGAAAUUUGAGCUAAUACCGGAUGAUGUCUUCGGACCAAAGAUUUAUCGCCUUUAGAUGGGCCCGCGUUGGAUUAGCUAGUUGGUGGGGUAAAGGCCUACCAAGGCGACGAUCCAUAGCUGGUCUGAGAGGAUGAUCAGCCACACUGGGACUGAGACACGGCCCAGACUCCGACGGGAGGCAGCAGUGGGGAAUAUUGGACAAUGGGCGAAAGCCUGAUCCACCAAUGCCGCGUGAGUGAUGAAGGCCUUAGGGUUGUAAAGCUCUUUUACCCGAGCUGAUAAUGACAGUAUCGGGAGAAUAAGCUCCGGCUAACUCCGUG
rnacentral:rRNA from 1 species